UCCAGUGCAAAGCAGAUCACAGAAAACCUCCCUUCUCUCGGUUUCUGGUGUCUUUCUUGGUUACACCUCUGUCUGGUUUAGUAAGAUGUCUCUUCCAUGGAUGCUGCCUUUGCUAAUCUUGUCCGUGUCAGGUUUUCUUGGAAUCGCUCAGAAGAUUGAGCAGCAAGAAUCCACCACAGCAUUUAGUGGAAAAGCACACAACCUUAGCUGCACCCUGACUUCUGUUUCUUCUGUAACGAAAAUGAUCCAGUGGUAUCGCCAAUUCCCCGGCCAAGGACCUCAGUAUAUUGCCGGCGCGUAUCCAGGAGAAACUGUUGAAGGCACCGAUCCGAAAAGCACAUUGCACUUUGCUCAUGACAAGAAGUCCAGCGCCCUCGCUCUCCAUCACAUCCUGCUGGACGAUGCUGCCGUGUACUUCUGUGCUCUCGCGGACGCACAGUGUGUGAGGAAAGGACUGUCGCGUGCAGGAACCCCUCACAAAGGCUGAGUGGGGGAGGAGCUCCAGGAGCUGAAAGAGGAGCAGAGCAAAAUCAGCAACAGACAAGAUGCAAACGCUCAU